ensembl:lncRNA uncharacterized LOC114457426
CACUGUGUCACCCGCGCUCAUUUGGCUUCCCUUAGAUAAAUUAUUUGCAAGAGGACACGGUCACAAGACCAGAUCUGCCCAAGCAUCCUAAAAACAGAGUAGCAACAGAGAUGCCCAUUGGUCCGGAGUGUUCAGCAGCUGAAAUAGCUAUGUAAACACUUUCUCUCUCUCUCUGUCUCUCUCUCUCCGUGAGCCCUUGUAAUUAUAGCCAGGAGGCUGGUGACGACAGUUGUCCUAUCGAGACCUCAUGCUGGAAUAAAUUUGACAUUAUGAGACCAGAUCCCGCCUCCAAAGGCACACCCACGUAAACUCUGAGGGGCAGUAUAAAGUCUUGGUACGCCGUCUGGAACAAAAGUUGUUUACCCCUUCGCUCUACAGCUGGAGGAAGGGGGCUCUUUAAAUCCACUCAUCAGGGUUUUACGUAACAGAGCGGAGGAAAAGAGAAAGGGAAGCACUGGGCAGAGGGGACUUGACUACAAGGGGAAUUUGCCACAGAGUGGAACUGCUUACUGGGACAAGAGAACAAGCAGUGGAUUUUUUACUGGAUCAGAGCAGGUGCUUCCAGUGCUACCGAUCCUUUGGCCCCCCACUGGGAACCCUCCAUUGACCUCUGACAGGAAAGUGAAACAGGAGUAAGGGGAAACCACCAUUUAAAAAGAGCUCUGGGUAUCUGAACUGCCUGUGUCAUGGCAGCCAUCGAACUGGAGCUCGGGCUGGAGCACGGCAGCCGGGGCUGGGGGCAGCAGAGGCCGGAACUCAUGGACAACUUUGACUCAGAAAUGCAAGAGUGGGAGGACCAGCUUCAAGAUAUCCAGAGGAAAAUUGAAGAGCUGUAUCAUGAUGUGCAAGCCCGUAGGGGAGCUAAUGAAACCCCCACUGACAACCAGAAAAAUGGUGGUCCAUUGGAUUGUGAACUAGGGUACCAUGGAAAUUGCCUUUUUCCGCCCGGGCAUCACAGAGAGAACCAUCCUGGAGCUACAAAUGUACAACCUCAUUAUAGCAAUGGCUGUAACAAUGGCCCUAAUGGGUACAGCUACCCUGGAGGCCACCAAAAUGGAUAUGGAUACUGCCAUCCCAACAACGUUUCAGAGAUCGAAAACUUGUUGCAGGAUUACUUGGGGAAAGGGAAAGCAAUAAGCCGCAAGAACAAUGGAGUCCGUCACGUGCACUUUAGUGACACGAUCAAUGUGAGUCAAGAUGCUGCACUCCAGGAUAAGGCAUUACGAGCUUUUGAAGAUGAAAGGCUCAGACAAGACAAGUGUUUGGGUGGUUUUGAAGGGACUGAAAAUAAGAAAAACCGAGGGUCACAUCCAAAGAGUUCCCCCUGCAGAGAGAGUUCCCCUAACAAGGAAAACACAGGUGCAAAGCCCCCUCUUGGUCAAAGGGAUGUUUCGUCCACACAGGCAAGAUCACAGGUUCCUGUUAUCACAACUGAAUCUCCUGCUUUGGAACGGAAAACUUUUGGUCCUGGAGUUCUGGGAGAAAGAAAGUGCAACAGUCCCUCCGUUCUCAGGAAGUUUGGAGCCAUGCUACAAGAAAAUGAAGGUAAAACACUUACUGAAUCAGGGGUGGUGACCAAUCAAGGACCUACCCCAGAGGCAAAGUGCCCAACUCCUAGCUGUCAGCGCAGAGCUUUGGGAGCCACUGCAGUUACAGGCAAAGUGCCAAUGCGUGUGCCUACCCAGAGAGGCCAAACCGAUUCUGAAGCGCUGACAGCAGAGAUAGAGCCAGGCCAAGAAUGGGGGUUAGCCUUGGACUCCUGUCGCCAAAAUUACAAGGAUCAGAGAGGGGGCUACAGCUGUACCAAAGUGUCCCAGCCCAGUCCCCAUCAGACCCAGAGGCGACCACAGGUGGCUGGGAGCCCAAAGAUUAGACCAAGGGCUAACAGUGGGGCUGACAGAGAUGGAGGACUGCCUGCAAGGAAGCCUGUGGUCCAACAUAUGGAGCCCAAAAUGGACUACAGGGUCUCAAGUGCUUCACCUGGUGCCCCAAGAAUCCAGAGGGGAGGGUUAGUGGAAAGGGAAUUGUUAAGCUCUGGCCAAAAAAUGGAUGAAGGACUUAUUGAGCUGCUGGAUAUGUUGGAGAUCCAACAUGAGUAUGGUUCAAGUUCCAAAACAGGAUACAGUUCUUACAAACAGGAGCCCCAACAGGUCAACCAACCUAAGGUUAUGCCAGCAAUACCCAGAAAGAUUUUCUCUCGUCCCGCACGGCCAGCCAACCAGCGGCCUCCUUCCAGGUGGGCCAGUCAGACCCCCUCUGCCAGAAUCAUGGCACCAUCAGGCCCAAUCUAUCGCCCCCCAAGUCCCCGGACUCGCACCCCAAGCCCUAUGACCAGGACAUCAAGUCCGGCACUGAAGCAGCGACCCGUCAUUUCUUAUUCUCUUCAGCCAGAGACCGUCAUCAUGUGAUUGUUUGGGGUUUUCUUUUUUCCUCUGGGGCAACUCCAAGUGUAAAUAGUACGAACAUUUCCAAAGAACCAAGUGCUUUCUGUGAGCAACAGAGAAAUUCUUACUAUUAAGACAUUUCCAGUGCUGCUAUUGCUUUAAAGUCCUUCUGUGCCUAUCGCUUACAUCGCUAUCCUUCAUCUCUCCCUUUAAUCUAUAUUCCCUUUUUUCUAAUUACCCUCCGAUGGUUUCUGUGUGUUACAAUUUUGCAUGCAACCCUGGUUUAAGGAUGUAUGCUCAUAAGUUUUGUCCUCACAGAUGCUAUAUUGAAAAAAAUAGUUCAACCUGGGCUCCAUUGGCAACAGAUUAAGUUGCAACUGUUCUCCCCAGCAUGAACGUGUUAACCGUCAGCAACAGUGUGUUUGGAUUUAUCAUAUUGUCUAAAUAUAUUUAAGAUGUUCAGAAACAGCUGAGGCAAAGAUGACACCAUGUCUUUAAUGUAUUUUUCUUGGUAAUAAAUAUGACAGUGCUUUGACA